rnacentral:rRNA from 1 species
AGCGAACGCUGGCGGCAGGCCUAACACAUGCAAGUCGAACGAACCCUUCGGGGUUAGUGGCGGACGGGUGAGUAACACGUGGGAACGUGCCUUUAGGUUCGGAAUAACUCAGGGAAACUUGUGCUAAUACCGAAUGUGCCCUUCGGGGGAAAGAUUUAUCGCCUUUAGAGCGGCCCGCGUCUGAUUAGCUAGUUGGUGAGGUAAUGGCUCACCAAGGCUACGAUCAGUAGCUGGUCUGAGAGGAUGACCAGCCACAUUGGGACUGAGACACGGCCCAAACUCCUACGGGAGGCAGCAGUGGGGAAUCUUGCGCAAUGGGCGAAAGCCUGACGCAGCCUUGCCGCGUGGAUGAUGAAGGUCUUAGGAUUGUAAAAUCCUUUCACCGGUGAAGAUAAUGACUGUAGCCGGAGAAGAAGCCCCGGCUAACUUCGUGCCAGCAGCCGCUGUAACAC